rnacentral:rRNA from 1 species
UACGAAGGGGGCUAGCGUUGCUCGGAAUCACUGGGCGUAAAGCGCACGUAGGCGGCUUUCUAAGUCAGGGGUGAAAUCCUGGAGCUCAACUCCAGAACUGCCUUUGAUACUGGAGAGCUUGAAUCCGGAAGAGGUGAGUGGAACUCCGAGUGUAGAGGUGAAAUUCGUAGAUAUUCGGAAGAACACCAGUGGCGAAGGCGGCUCACUGGUCCGGUACUGACGCUGAGGCGCGAAAGCUAGGGGAGCAAACGGG